GUAAGUAUGUUGGAAUGGUAGACAAGUCGUGCUUAGGACACGAUGGUUUAUACUGUGUGGGUUCAAGUCCCACUACUUACA
rnacentral:tRNA from 1 species